rnacentral:rRNA from 1 species
UACAGAGGUCUCAAGCGUUGUUCGGAUUCAUUGGCGUAAAGGGUGCGUAGGCGGCGGGCAAGUCAGGUGUGAAAUCUCGGGCUCAACUCCGAAACUGCAUUUGAUACUGCCUUGCUAGAGUACUGGAGAGGAGAUUGGAAUUACGGUGUAGCAGUGAAUGCGUAGAUAUCGUAAGGAAGACCAGUGGCGAAGGCGAAUCUCUGGACAGUACUGACGCUGAGCACGAAGGCCAGGGAGCAAACGGG